AACGAACGCUGGCGGCGUGCCUAACACAUGCAAGUCGAACGAGAAAGGGGCUUCGGCUCCGAGUAAAGUGGCGCCCGGGUGAGUAACACGUGGGUAACCUGCCUCUCAGAUUUGGAUAACUCGUCGAAAGAUGAGCUACUACUGAAUAAUACCACAGUUCCCGCCGUAACAGGGGUCAAAGGUAUCCUCUGCUUGCAAGCUAUCACUUAGAGUUUGGCCUUCGCACCAGUAGCUAGGUGUUAGGGUACCGGACUACCUAGGCGAGGAUGGGUAGCUAGUCGGAGAGGAUGAGCAGCCGCACUGGAACUGAGACACGGUCCAGACGCCUAGGGGAGGAGGCAGGGCGGAAUAUUGCGCAAGCGGCGAAAGCUUGUGGAAGAAGCGCCGAGUGAGUGAUCAGGACCUUCGGGUGGUAGAGCUCUGUCGGCAGGAAGGAAUGCUCCUGAGGUUAUCAGGCUCGGGAGGUGACGGUAACUGCAAAGGAAGCACCGGCUAACUCCGUG
rnacentral:rRNA from 1 species